UUCAUUUCUUGAUAAAAUGAUAAGACAGGGGCUGGAAUUUAGUUCAGUGGCAUAAGCGCCUGCUUUGCAGGAACAUGGUUGUGAGUUCCAUCCCCAGUAUUGAUAAAAAAAGAUACGAUAAAGAGGUAUUAGGUUUCAGAUAAGACUUGACCCAGAGAUGCCAACAAGGUCUUUCUGCAACCUGUGUUGCUUUGUUCCUUUGUUCUGCUUCCUAGUUUGCAAGCAGCCUUCUUGACUAAUACACACCACAGUACAGAGGCCUCAGAAUCUCUAGCUCUUACACCAUAUUUCAACACGCUCCGCUGCAGGAGCCCUUCUUUUUCUUAAUAUUAUGAGAGAAAAAGUAAUGACGUGCUCUUCUUUGGCCUGCUUGGGCCUAAGUUUCUCUCUGAGCAAAUGACGCCUGGUCAAGGCAGUGGGAUGAGCAAUGGGGAUUCAGGUCUUGGGUCUGGCCCUUUUUGGGUUUGGGGAUCGAACACUCCUCUGCAGCCUGCUGUCCUUCCCAGGAAGGUAAAUAAGUAGGCAAAACCAACACAGAGCCACCACUCUAUCUCCCUCCCUGGCACAGCAUGACUACAAGGUGGCUCUGUUUUCCUGUGCUCCUUUGGUCUCUGUUCCUAAGCGACAUCUUUAUUUGGUUGUACUUACAGAAUAGAUCAAAGGCCAACAAUGACCACCCAGGAGCCAGAUGUGGCCCUUCCCAGCUGUCUCAUUAAGACACGGCUGUACUUAUCCACCAUGCCUUGCAACCGAAACCCUGUGGUUGGUGGGACCCAGGCUGUCCACUCUCUGGCACUCACAGGCACGCUGGUCAAGCCGGUUGUGUAUUAGCAUCUGCGUUUGUUUUUACUUAAUGGCUUCUUAGGGACAGUUCCACCGACUUUUAGAGUCUCCAUAGUUACCGUUAUGUAUUUUGGCUGCAGAAUACUUCCGCUGAGUGGGGUGAGUCUCCUUUUUCUGCCCUCAGAGACAGAGCGACAUGGUGGAGUCCCCACAGGAGGACUCCUCGCUCUUGUGAGCAGGAGGCAGGGGCUUCCUUUAAGAUUAAACUCACUUCCUGGCUCCCUAAGCUCCACUCUGCCGAAGCCCUAAUCAGCUGUGUUUUUCUUGUCUAAAGCAUCUCCAGGGCAAGGAUGCCAUUCAUGAGGACCACAUCCCCGAUGUCUACUGCAAGUCAGGUGUGUUGUCUGCAGCCCACGGUCCACGACUGGUGUCACUGGUGCUAUGAAUCAAACCGUCUGCAGCCCCAGUUAAAACCUCCCAUUGCUCUCAGGAUAAGUGGAAAAUUCUCUAGGUCUACAAUAGUAGAUCUGGCACCCAGAGGAAGCAGAGUAAAGCUGGGGAUGAGCGUUUUGCCUUAAGGAGCUGCCCAUGUGAGCCUGCAGGGAUGCUGGGAGGAUUUCUAGGCCCCUGGCGAUCGCACCCAUGCAGGAGGGGAGGCAGCCAGUCUGCGGGGAACGCAGUGUCGCCGUGUGGCUCCCCAGGACAGUCUCAGCCACCAGGGGCCUGCCUGUCCCGCUGGGGGAUCCUUCUGUUUCCUGGUCUCUUGGGCUUUCUCCACCACCUGGUUUGGGUUCAGGCUGGGACUGCAUUUUGACGCAGUGUUUUAUGCUUAUUUUUUGUAAACAGCGACUUGGGGCAGGGUUGGCUAACUUUUCUGUAAAUGACCAGAGUGUAAACAUGUUAAGCUUCACAGGCCAAAUAGAUUCAGUCUCAGCUACCCAGGUUUGCUGGCUGACAGUCUGUACUUGAGCUGCUAUGGAUGAGACCCAGUAAACCUUUAUUUAGGAGAAGAGGCAGAGGGCCAGAGUUGGUUCAAGGGCUAUGGUUUGCUGACCUCUGACUUAGAUAUUGGCAAUGUCUUGACUCCCUAAUUGGAAAAAAAAUUCCACUUUAAUAUUAGUGUUUUUCAAUUUGGGCUCUGUAGUCCCUGGAGUUUUUACAGAUUUGCUUCAAAAUGUUUAGCUGUGCUGGGAGGAUGAGGGUCACACUGCUCUCUGAUGCGCGGAGCUGCUUGUGAGCCUGCAUUUGGGAAGACUGAACUUUGGAAUCAGAUACUCUUUACAUGUGAGUGCAUAUAUGUAACACAUGGUAGUAGGUGGUAAUUUCCUUCUGCAAGAAAAUUGAGUUUUUGUGAAUAACCAUUUUUAUUUCUAUGAGAAUAAAAUCCUAAAGAUGUUGUCCCGCAGCCCGUGGAAGCAGGAUGAUGUGAAUUUCCUAUCUGGUUUGCCUUUGGCUCCUUGUUCAUUGCUGGAGAAAACGAUGGAUUUUAUAAUGGCAGUUUCUUGUUCAGUUCAACUAAACCUAGUGAAGGGGUUUUGAGCGAGGGUCAAUCCGCGUUUUCCUUUUCUAUAGAAGAGUUCUAUUGGAAAGAUUUUAUGGCUUCCCUACCCGGAAGUGCCUGCUAACCACUAGUGGAUAUUUCUGUUUUCUUUCUUACACAUUCCCUCCUCUUUCUUCUCUCUGGGUCCCAAACGCUUCCUGGGCUCCAUGUUCUAAAUCUCUCACCAUCCCUCUGCUUUGUCACAAGAAUGCUUAUCACUGCUCGGAACACAAGGGUGACCGUUGUUUCAUGUCCAACCCCUGAUACAGAAACAGUCUUGCAUGUCCAGGGACCCUGUCCAGGUGGCUCACGAUUGCACGGCUGAUGUUGGACACACAGUGAGCACAUUCGCAUUUGCGCAAUUUAACCCGCAUGGAAUCGUAAAGCCAUUUGGGAGAACAGACAAUGGUGAAGAAUAGCUCCAGUGCAAGAUGGCUCCCAGAGCGAGCGGAGCUCGGAAUUCGCUUUCUAGGCUCCAUAAAGCUGGGCGUGUGGUUUAUGACAUCAGCAGAGCCUGCAGUGAAUUACUGUGCAUCCUUGCCCUGGCGGUGGGGCCAUCUAUUAUGCUACUGUGAGCAAUGCUGAUUAGGAAGGUGUCUUUGAUAGCUCAGUAGAGGGAAAACGCUCCUGUUGCAGGACUGAAGACAACGGUUCAAGCAAAGGUCCAUAAAGAAGGGGCUGGACAUUGCCAGCCUUCUGCAUCCUGCGUGUCUUUGUGUAUGACAAAGAAGAAUAAGAUUAUCAAGUCAUUUAAAAAGACACAUUCUAAAUUUAGAAACAAAGACUUUCCUGUUAAUGCCUUGCCUCCAAUAAUUCCUAAUUGAGAUCUACGUAUCUCCUUAAUAAAGCACAAGCAUUUAUCUAGUGAUCUAAGACUGGGUGUUAUGCACCUAUUUAACUAAUAAUUUUUUUUGACAGAGUCUAUGUGGCCUAGAUUGGCUUCAAACUUGUGCUCUUCCUGUCUCAGCCUCUUGAGUGCUGGACAUGGAUUUGUACUAUCACAUCCUACUAAUUGAUACAUUCUGAGUCUUGAAAACAAAAAUCUAUUUGUCCUUUCUGACCUCUCCAAGUCAAAGUAAUAAAUUGUAAUUCAUUACAACAAAACUCAGCGAGUCAAGAUACACUUUCUACCCUGAAUGCUUACUGGGUUAGGUGUUGUUUACAAUAAGUCAUUGGUUGUGGUUGAGGCUUUCUAAAAAAAUAAUGAAAUCGUUGUAGAAACCA